rnacentral:rRNA from 1 species
UACGAAGGGGGCUAGCGUUGCUCGGAAUCACUGGGCGUAAAGGGUGCGUAGGCGGGUUUUUAAGUCAGAGGUGAAAUCCUGGAGCUCAACUCCAGAACUGCCUUUGAUACUGAGAAUCUUGAGUAUGGGAGAGGUGAGUGGAACUGCGAGUGUAGAGGUGAAAUUCGUAGAUAUUCGCAAGAACACCAGUGGCGAAGGCGGCUCACUGGCCCAUAACUGACGCUGAGGCACGAAAGCGUGGGGAGCAAACGGGG